CUGGAUGGUCCUUGUAGGUCCCUUCCAACUCUGGGAUUCCAUGACCCUUUUCUGAGCAGUCUGGUGCAUCUGCUGAGUUUGUUAUUCCCCUCAGCACGUACCAGAAAUGCAGAUGAACCCAAACCCAAAGGGAUUUAACUCUGGGACUGAUGUCUGUUACUUCAGCUCUGCAAAGAGAAAUAAAGGCAGACAGCAGGGACAUGAUUUGGUUCGUGAUUAAUAGGGGGAAUCAUUACAGAAUAACCAGCUCUGUGUCACUUCCCUGGAUUUAAAUGCACACUCUCCAGCCUAAGCUGCAGUCUGCAAGUCAGGUUGACUUAAACAUUUUAUUAUUGUCAUAAAUUUAGCAACUAAUAACUAGUGGGAAGCGAGUCAGAAGCUGCUCCCGGGGAGGAAAAAAACCCUCUGAGAAUUUCCUUUGAAUACUGACUUAGGUUCUGAUUUAAAAAAAAAUAUAUUACAAUUAAUUCUGGUUAUCUGUCCAUAUGUAAUAAAAUCUAAAGCCCAAGACAUGAGACAAACUUUAGGGAUUUUUGGCAAUACUCUCAAAUUGAUCUGAGCCACAUCUCCAGUCACCGGGAGUGUGUCAAACAACUUAAUGUUGUUCUGUUUGAUGAAAAUCCUGCUUGCUUACAAUGAGGACAGUGGAUAUAUCCUGGGGAAUAAGGCUCUUCAUAAGAUCCUACUGCAGAAUUAAGGGUGUUCACCACACCUUGGUAGAGGGUUUUAGAUCCUGCUUGAUGCUGCAGAUGUUACAAUGAGAUGAAUUCAUCCAUUUGUCUUAAGGAAUAAGCAGGGAUCCAUCAUGUUUCACUGACAAAAUUGCCAUCUGAGGUAAAAUAAUAACAUUGAUUACUGGGGAUGGAGAAGAAUGAAGGAAAAAAAUUGAUUUUUAAACAUCCCCAGUGCGAUUUGGAGAGAUUAAAGUUAGCUAAUUCAUAAUAAACAUAGAAAUGGAGAGAAUAAAUAAGAACCCUCUUUAGACCAAUUACCCAGGCUCCAUUUUCAGCCUGUGAUAAAUUCCAGAUGACUCCUUAGCAAAAAUAUAGUUUAUGGAGCUAUAAUAUAGAAGCAAGUGGAGAGGCUGGAUAAAAACCCUUCCUACAUUUUAGCUGGGCUGGGAGGCUGAAUAAAAUGGUGCAGCUCAUUCUGGGUGUAUUUCCAUUUAAAAAAAUCUCUGUGCCCCGAGGAGGGUUUGACUCGAUGUGUUGCUGUGGUUAUCACCCAAAAUGUCUGACAGGAAUAUUCCUGUAGCUCUGCCUAAUUGCUGGGGCUACCUUUUGAUGGAAAUCUGAACUCAAACUACUCGGAAUAUAUCCAUAGAAAAUACCUUCUUGGGUAAAAAAACCAACUAAAUACGGAAACUUAAAUACAGAUUUGGUAAAUUAGUCUUGUUUUUUUCCAACACUUUUUUAUUUUUGUAUUUGUUUCCCCCAAAUUAUGAAAGACUGGGGAUGAAAGAAUUUCAUUAAGGCUGCAAAAUACCUCAGUUUCUGAGGCAAACUCUCCAUCUCUGUGAAGAGCAGGUUGGUUUUCAGCAGCAGCUCGUUCCUGCCAUCAGCAAAAUUGUUGUCAAAACAUUUGAGGAGAUCAUGGCAGAGCUGAAAGGAGAAGAGAACAUACACUAUUAGUAAAUGAUCCAUAAACAUCCCCUGCAAAUGACAACUCUACAUCGAAAAUUUUCAUUUAGGAGAGUGAAAAACAAAUCCAAUUGUGAUGAGGGCCCCAGAAAUGUCUUGACCCUUGUUCACAUUGAGCUGGUGGUGGCAGCAGCAUGAGGGAUGUGCUGUGGGUGAUGGUUCUCCCAGUGACUCACUCCUGGCCUCGAGCAAAGCACUUAAUGUGUCCAGGGCUCACCUCAAAAAAGGGCCAGUGUUGCUUUUCUCAGGGUAAUUCUCCUGAAUUAACGUCUGAGAGAUGCUGCCAGUUCCUAAAAUAAAAGAUGCCUCCAACAAUUCAGCAUUUGCCAGGGAAAAUCAGAAUUCCUAUGGCUGAUGUAAAAGGAGUUUGAGAUCCUGCAGUGCCCUUCUGUUCCACGCAGAGAAACCCUUGAGUUUCUUAAAAAAUGGAAGGAGUAAUUGAUUAUAUUUUUUUGGUGUUAAUGCUGCAAUCAAAGGAGGAUGACAAUGAAUUUGUUAUGUUAGAGGCACGUUAUACCUCUGAUAUUCACUGCAGCACCACCUUUGGGAGCCUGUGAUAAAUGAGGACUUUUUAGUGGCAAAUCUUUGCGUGUUGUGAAGGUUCCUGGUCACAGAGGUGCUGCUUUUCCAGGGAUUUCCUUUCAGUGAGCACAGCUGACCAAAGUGCCUCUCCAAAUGCAGCCCCUGAGACUUCUCAUCCCCUCUGCAGGUGAUUCCAGUGAAGAUCUCCCAGUGUUUCAUGGGAAUUCUGGUGCAGGGAGAGGCAGGGAACUGGCACUGGGGUGGCAGGAGGGAUGGUGGGAGGUGGGGGUUGAUGACAAGUGCCAAGGAGAGGCUUUGCUGUGCAGAGCCAUUAAUCCUCCUGCUCCUGCUUGAGUGCCUUUGGCAGAACACAAGGCUGGGAAGACUUCAGAUAAAUCAAGGAGCUGGUUGUCUCCUGGCUCUGCUUCCACAGGGAUGUGGAAUUGGUGAAACUCCUGCCUCUGCUGUCCCCUAAGGUGUCCAAGCAGUGGCUUCCCAAAUCAGUGAGGUGCAGUUUGUACCAGUGCCCAACCAACACCUAGAACCUGCAUUUCCAGUUUCUGCUUUCUGAUUGUUUCUGAUUUGUUUUUCUGGUGUUUUGGGUUUGUUGUGAUCCAUGCACCCUCUGGGGAAGGUGAAGAGCAAUCAUGGUCAAACAGCUUUCCAUCAGGGAGUGAGGUAGGUGCAGUUUUGCAAGUUUUAUUGUCUCAGCUAGAUUCUGAAAGCACCAGAAGCAGCUCCCCUCUCAGCUUUCCUCCCAAAAAAAUAAUAGGGAAAAAACAGGAAUGUUUUCCUGUGACCAACCUCCAGUAUCUGUUAAAGAACUGAACUGUUAAAAACUGUUAAAAACAGAACAAAAGGAGACAAAUAAAACCCUGGCAUUGCUAAGUGAGUGGAAAACAGAUCUAUAGAAUUUAAAAUGAUUUGAGUUGGAAAGGACCUUCAAGGCCGUCUCAUUCCACACCCUGCCAUGGUCAGGGACACC